GUCAUAUGCUUGUCUCAAAGAUUAAGCCAUGCAUGUCUCAGUACAAGCCAAAUUAAGGUGAAACCGCGAAAGGCUCAUUAAAUCAGUUAUGGUUCCUUAGAUCGUACCCACAAUUACUUGGAUAACUGUGGUAAUUCUAGAGCUAAUACAUGCAAACAGAGCUCCGACCGGAGACGGAAGGAGUGCUUUUAUUAGAUCAAGACCAAUCGGUGGCGGGUUCGCUCGUCAUCGUACAACUUGGUGACUCUGAAUAACUUUACGCUGAUCGCACGGUCACCGCACCGGCGACGCAUCUUUCAAAUGUCUGCCUUAUCAACUGUCGAUGGUAGGUUCUGCGCCUACCAUGGUUGUAACGGGUAACGGGGAAUCAGGGUUCGAUUCCGGAGAGGGAGCCUGAGAAACGGCUACCACAUCCAAGGAAGGCAGCAGGCGCGCAAAUUACCCACUCCCGGCACGGGGAGGUAGUGACGAAAAAUAACGAUACGGGACUCAUCCGAGGCCCCGUAAUCGGAAUGAGUACACUCUAAACCCUUUAACGAGGAUCAAUUGGAGGGCAAGUCUGGUGCCAGCAGCCGCGG
rnacentral:rRNA from 2 species